GGUGCCCAUACCCAAAGGGACACACCCGAUCCCAUCUCGAACUCGGAAGUUAAGCCUUUGGGGCCGAUGAUAGUCG
rnacentral:rRNA from 1 species